AUUGAACGCUGGCGGCAGGCCUAACACAUGCAAGUCGAACGGUAACAGGAAGAAGCUUGCUUCUUUGCUGACGAGUGGCGGACGGGUGAGUAAUGUCUGGGAAACUGCCUGAUGGAGGGGGAUAACUACUGGAAACGGUAGCUAAUACCGCAUAACGUCGCAAGACCAAAGAGGGGGACCUUCGGGCCUCUUGCCAUCGGAUGUGCCCAGAUGGGAUUAGCUAGUAGGUGGGGUAACGGCUCACCUAGGCGACGAUCCCUAGCUGGUCUGAGAGGAUGACCAGCCACACUGGAACUGAGACACGGUCCAGACUCCUACGGGAGGCAGCAGUGGGGAAUAUUACACAAUGGGCGCAAGCCUGAUGCAGCCAUGCCGCGUGUAUGAAGAAGGCCUUCGGGUUGUAAAGUACUUUCAGCGGGGAGGAAGGGAGUAAAGUUAAUACCUUUGCUCAUUGACGUUGCCCGCAGAAGAAGCACCGGCUAACUCCGUG
rnacentral:rRNA from 1 species